rnacentral:tRNA from 1 species
GGGUCCGUAGCUCGAGGUUAGAGCGGGCCGCCCAUAAUGGUCUGGUUGGGGGGCAAGUCCCUCCGGGCCCACCA